AUUGAACGCUGGCGGCAGGCCUAACACAUGCAAGUCGAACGAGUGGCGGACGGGUGAGUAAUGUCUGGGAAACUGCCUGAUGGAGGGGGAUAACUACUGGAAACGGUAGCUAAUACCGCAUACCAUCGGAUGUGCCCAGAUGGGAUUAGCUAGUAGGUGGGGUAAAGGCUCACCUAGGCGACGAUCCCUAGCUGGUCUGAGAGGAAUACCAACCAAAAUGGAACUGAGACACGGUCCAGACUCCUACGGGAGGCAGGAGUGGGGAAUAUUGGACCAUGGGCGCAAGCCUGAUGCAGCCAAUCCGCGGGUAAUGAGGAGGCCGUCGGGUUGUAAAGUACUUUCAGCCGGGAGGAGGUACCCGCAGAAGAAGCACCGGCUAACUCCGUGCCAGCAGCCGCGGUAAUAC
rnacentral:rRNA from 1 species